rnacentral:rRNA from 1 species
UACAGAGGUCUCAAGCGUUGUUCGGAUUCAUUGGGCGUAAAGGGUGCGUAGGCGGCGCGGUAAGUCGGGUGUGAAAUCUCGGAGCUUAACUCCGAAACUGCAUUCGAUACUGCCGUGCUUGAGGACUGGAGAGGAGACUGGAAUUUACGGUGUAGCGGUGAAAUGCGUAGAUAUCGUAAGGAAGACCAGUGGCGAAGGCGGGGUCUCUGGGCAACAACUGACGCUGAGGAGCGAAAGUGUGGGGAGCGAACAGG